AGAGUUUGAUCCUGGCUCAGGAUGAACGCUGGCGGCGUGCCUAACACAUGCAAGUCGAACGAAGAGGCUCCUUCGGGAGUACUUCAGUGGCGGACGGGUGAGUAACACGUAGGUGACCUGCCCCGAAGCAGGGGAUAACGGACCGAAAGGUCGGCUAAUACCCAAAAGGAGCGCGGUGCAGAACCGCGCUCAGAGUGCCCGCAAGGGAGGCGUUUCGGGAGGGGCCUGCGGCCCAUCAGCUAGUUGGCAGGGUAAAAGCCUACCAAGGCGACGACGGGUAGGGGGCCUGAGAGGGUGGUCCUCCACAUUGGCACUGACACACGGGCCAAACUCCUACGGGAGGCAGCAGUGAGGAAUAUUGCACAAUGGGCGAAAGCCAGAUGCAGCAACGCCGCGUGGACGAUGAAGGCCUUCGGGUUGUAAAGUCCUUUUCAGGGGGACGAGAAGGGACGGUACCCCUGGAAUAAGUCACGGCUAACUACGUGCCAGCAGCCGCGGUAAAACGUAGGUGGCGAGCGUUAUCCGGAUUCACUGGGCGUAAAGGGCCUGCAGGCGGUCCAGCAAGUGGGACGUGAAAUCUCCCGGCUCAACUGGGAGGGGCCGUUCCAUACUGCUAGACUGGAGGGCAGAAGAGGAAAGUGGAAUUCCCGGUGUAGUGGUGAAAUGCGUAGAUAUCGGGAGGAACACCAGUGGCGAAGGCGACUUUCUGGUCUGCACCUGACGCUAAGAGGCGAAAGCUAGGGGAGCGAACGGGAUUAGAAACCCCGGUAGUCCUAGCCGUAAACGAUGGAUGCUGGGUGUCGGUGGUCCUAACCCCAUCGGUGCCGAAGCUAACGCGUUAGGCAUCCCGCCUGGGGACUACGGCCGCAAGGUUAAAACUCAAAGGAAUUGACGGGGGCCCGCACAAGCAGCGGAGCGUGUGGUUUAAUUCGAUUCUACACGAAGAACCUUACCCAGGUUUGACAUGCAGGUGGUAGAGAAGCGAAAGCGGAUCGACCCUUCGGGGAGCCUGGACAGGUGCUGCAUGGCUGUCGUCAGCUCGUGCCGUGAGGUGUUGGGUUAAGUCCCCUAACGAGCGCAACCCUCGCCGUCAGUUACAAGUGUCUGGCGGGACUGCCGGUAUCAAACCAGAGGAAGGUGGGGAUGACGUCAAGUCAGCAUGGCCUUUAUAUCUGGGGCUACACACACGCUACAAUGGCCGGUACAAUGGGGAGCCAACCCGCGAGGGGGAGCCAAUCCUACAAAGCCGGUCUCAGUUCGGAUUGGAGGCUGCAACCCGCCUCCAUGAAGUCGGAGUUGCUAGUAACCGCAGGUCAGCCACACUGCGGUGAAUACGUUCCCGGGCCUUGUACACACCGCCCGUCACGUCAUGGGAGCUGGUAACACCUGAAGCCGGUGGGCGAACUUCGCCUUCGGGAGAGGACGCAGCCGUCGAGGGUGGGACUGGUGACUGGGACGAAGUCGUAACAAGGUA
rnacentral:rRNA from 1 species